rnacentral:tRNA from 2 species
GCGGGUAUCGUAUAGUGGUUAUUAUGCGGCCUUCCCAAGGCUGAAAGGCGGGUUCGAUUCCCGCUACCCGCUCCA